ensembl:snRNA U6 U6 spliceosomal RNA
UCCCUCUGGCAGGAAAUACGCUAAAACUGGAAUGAUACAGACAAGAUUAGCAUGCUCCCUGUGCAAGGAAGUAUGGGUUACUUAUCAUUUGAUU